rfam:Medicago truncatula strain A17 chromosome 4, whole genome shotgun sequence.
CCUACAAGUAUAAAAUAUCUGUUUAGGUCCCUUAACUUUAUUUAAAGUAUCGGUUUUAUCUUUUUUAUUAAUUUAAUUUAAAAAAAAUUAAGUUUAGAUACCAAAUUAAUACUAAUUAAAUUAGUUAAGGACCAAAAUUUAAUGUUUUUUUAAUUAAAUUAACAGAAAUAACAAAACUGAUACUUUAAAUAAAGUUAAGAGACCUUAGCAAACUUUUUAUUACUUAUGGAA